GGAGCUGUGGCUCAGUGGUAGAGCGCUUGCCUAGCAUGAAUGAGGCCCUGGGUUUGAUCCUCAGCACCA
rnacentral:tRNA from 1 species